CCCUAAUGACACCUGUCUGGCUUCAUCUCCACGCUCACUCCAUCCCAGCCUCGUUUCCUCUCCACCCAGGGUGGUGCUUGCCACCCUGUUUGGGUGGCUCUUCCUCGUCUUGGACAGCUAGAAUGUGAGCUCCAUGGGAGCAGCAAAUAUGUUCACCGUAGGACCCCCAGCACCCUGAACAGUGCCUGGCACUCGUCCUUAAACCAACUCAGCUUCCAUGAAGGUUUUAUGCUGUAGGAUAUCUAAGAGUUCGGAAGGCUCCACGUCACAGCAGGCCUUGAUAAUCACCAAUCUCUGUUCUGUCUCUGUGGAUUUGCCUCUUCUGGAUAUUCCAUAUAAAUGGAAUCGUACAAAACUCCUUUAUCUCCUGGUUCCUCCCUUACCUCUUCAGAACUGUGCCUCAGAGCUAUCUGAGAGCUUAGGUCCUUAGUGUCUGCUGAAUAAAAC